UACGGGGGGAGCAAGCGUUGUUCGGAUUUACUGGGCGUAAAGGGCGCGUAGGCGGUUCGUCAAGUCCUGUGUGAAAUCCCCCGGCUCAACUGGGGAACUGCACAGGAAACUAGCGGGCUUGAGUUCGGGAGAGGGAAGCGGAAUUCCGGGUGUAGCGGUGAAAUGCGUAGAUAUCCGGAGGAACACCGGUGGCGAAGGCGGCUUCCUGGACCGACACUGACGCUGAGGCGCGAAAGCUAGGGGAGCAAACGGG
rnacentral:rRNA from 1 species